GGCAAGUGUGGAGGUUGUCAGUUAUUUGAGGCGUUUAGUAGACAAAACUCAACAGCCAUGGUUGUCAAAGUGAACGUAAUUUAUUGUGGUGGAUGAGGGUACAGGCCCAAGUAUGAGCGACUGAAAGCUGAUCUUGUGGAUGAGUUUGGCUCCGACAUUGAGAUGACUGGUGUAUCAACUCCAGAAGUCAGUGGAUAUCUAGAGGUUGAGGUCAAUGGACGUCUUGUUCAUUCCAAAAAGAAUGGAGACGGCUACGUUGAUAAUCAACAGAAACUGAACAAGAUCAUUGAGGCCGUCAAGGCAGCUCUUUGAUUCUUGACAACAUUCAGCAACACAGCUAAACAGCUCCGCGUUGGACAUUGUGGCUAUCCUUAUUAUGACAGAAAUACCCCAAAAGUAGUUCCGGCUAUUCGGGUAUUUCUCGAGACUCUACAGGGAGACACCAGGCUGUCCAAGAUGGAAGGAUUUGACUGUGUCAAUUAUUAUUUUCUUUGAUGUGGUAUUGUGCAGUGUAGACUAGAAUUAAUAUGGUGUAAUUGGUAACAUGUUAAAAGGGAGUUUAUUUUAAGAAAAACAUUAAUCUUAACAUUGGGUUACUUGUAAAGAAAAGGGCCCCAUAAACGAGGAUUGUUAUUUUCCUUACCAUGUUGUGCAAGUCAAUGAUUUUGUUUUCGCUAUUUUCAUUAUUUACAACCACAGUAAGUUACUGCACAGGAUGGAAAUACUUUAAAGCAAAAAACACAAGAACCUGACUUGGGGGUCAUUAAAGUGCAGUUGUUUGAUCUUGGUGAUAUUUAUGAUACCAUAUUCAUUUAUGUUUUCAUUUAUAUUUUGAGAAAUGUAUAAUUGAAGUAAAAUGGUACCUGACCCUUGACUUUAGAGGAAUAAAGAAAAUCAAAAAUUGAUUUUAUGGGGUCUUCAUGUUAGUUAUGACUAUAUUCCUUACCAAGCAGUGAUAUAUAAAAAUAAAACCAAAGAUAACAUGAAAAUAUACUACACACCAAGGCUGAAAAUGUGAUUCACUCUUUUUUACAAUGGUUAUUUGGAAUGUGCUUUGAAUUUCAGAAUGAUUUUUAUAAUUGUAACUCUCAAACCCUCCUAUGGCUAGCUAAUCAGAGGUGGGACUGGCCUGGCAUCAAUGGCUUGCUUUAUGAUUCUGUCAGAGGCAUUUUAUAUAAAUCCACAUAUUCCAUGCUAUUUUCACAUUAUGUGUACAUUACAUGUAAUGCAUGAAUAAUGAUUUUUUUGCAAAUGAAAUAUUUGUUAAAAACAACAUUUAUAUGAACUUUAAUAGAUAAGUUGAUUAUAAUACACGGAACUCUGUUACCAGAUUCAUGUAUCCCAAUGGGCUAAGCAAAUCAAGAAGAUUUCAGUUGAAACACACCGAAGUACAGUAGCACAUUAAAUACUUCAUAUUUCAUGCCAAAGAUAUAUUGCUAUGAAAAUGUUUUGUCUGUCAAUUUAUCCUGACAGGUAGCCUAAUCCUGUCAAUGAACAAUUAUCAUUUUAGAAUGGGCAUUAUAUUGGAAGAUUCAUUUCCAAUCUUAAUGAUCUUGAUGCUUCUUCAGAACCAUAUAACAUGUCAUGGUGUUGGGAUUUGUGUGAUGAAGUGCCUAUUUUCACUUUUCUUGUUUACAUUUUUUUUCUUGAAGCCGAUUAAAAUGGUUUUGUCAUUCCCAUCAUCAA